GACAUAGGUGGCGAACGUUAUCCGGAUUUAUUGGGCGUAAAGGAUGCGUAGAUGGUGGAAUAAGUUAUUGGUCGAGGUCAAGCUCAACUUGGCGGAAGCUGGUAAUACUGUUCUACUCGAAGGACAGGAGAGGUUGACGGAAUUCUGUGUGGAGCGGUGAAAAUGCGUUGAUCUACAGAGGAACACCAAAAAGGGCGAAGGCAGUCAACUAUUCUGAUCCUGACAU
rnacentral:rRNA from 1 species